rnacentral:lncRNA from 1 species
AUCCGUGGUGAUUAAAAAGUGUAAAAUCUAUAAAUGACCUGAUGAGAAGGGGAAGGUUUUUUUCAGUGUGAUGCGUUGAUCAUUUUUAAUACUGAUUAUUAUCUCUCAGGGAAUUCCUGGACGUGAAGGACCAAUCGGCCAACCAGGUUUCCCAGGAUGCAAUGGGACAAAGGGCGAUGUUGGGUACCAAGGACUCCCUGGAGUUCCAGGACCUGUUGGCUUUCGAGGUCGUCCCGGAAUGCGAGGCACAAAGGGCAACUCGUUCGUCUUCCCCGUCCCUCCGGACAUUAAAGGACUGACAGGUCAACAGGGACUAGAAGGACAGAAGGUCAGUGUCACGGUCCAGGCAAGACAACAUGUCCUCCUCACGCUACCAGCGGAGAUGUGGACGGCGUCUGUCUUCACAGGCCGAUGGACCUCGUGGUCAAUUGAUCAUCACAUAUAUGAAAUUAAAAAUAUGGAGAACAAUGUUGUUGGAUUUCAAGGCUGCUGUGGUACCAAGAAGAGUUGUAGUUAA